rnacentral:rRNA from 1 species
GAUGAACGCUGGCGGUAUGCUUAACACAUGCAAGUCGAACGGACUCUUCGGAGUUAGUGGCGGACGGGUGAGUAACGCGUGAGAAUCUGGCUUUGGGUUCGGGACAACCACUGGAAACGGUGGCUCAUACCGGAUGUGCCGAGAGGUGAAAGAGAAAUUUCCUGAAGAUGAGCUCGCGUCUGAUUAGCUAGUUGGUGAGGUAAAGGCUCACCAAGGCAGCGAUCAGUAGCUGGUCUGAGUGGAUGACCAGCCACAGUGGGACUGAGACACGGCCGAGACUCCUAGGGGGGGCAGGAGGGGAAAAUUGUCCGCAAUGCGCGAAAGUCUUACGGAGCAAUACCGCGUGGGAGAAGGAGGCUCGGGGUGUGUAAACCUCUUGCCUGAGGGAAGAACAAAAUGACGGUACCGAAUAAAUCAGCAUCGGCUAACUCCGUG